rnacentral:rRNA from 1 species
AUUGAACGCUGGCGGCAGGCCUAACACAUGCAAGUCGAACGAGUGGCGGACGGGUGAGUAAUGUCUGGGAAACUGCCUGAUGGAGGGGGAUAACUACUGGAAACGGUAGCUAAUACCGCAUACCAUCGGAUGUGCCCAGAUGGGAUUAGCUAGUAGGUGGGGUAAAGGCUCACCUAGGCGACGAUCCCUAGCUGGUCUGAGAGGAUGACCAGCCAGACUGGAACGGAGAAACGGUCCAGACGCCUAAGGGAGGCAGCAGUGGGGAAUAUUGCACAAGGGGGGCAAGACUGAGGAAGCCAUGCCACGUGGAUGAAGAAGGCCUUCGGGUUGUAAAGUACUUUCAGCGGGGAGGCGUUACCCGCAGAAGAAGCACCGGCUAACGCCGUGCCAGCAGCCGCGGUAAUUC